rnacentral:rRNA from 1 species
AGAGUUUGAUCCUGGCUCACGCACGAACGCUGGCGGCGUGCUUAACACAUGCAAGUCGAGGGGGCGUAGCAAUACGUCACCGGCGGACGGGUGCGUAACACGUGGGAAUGUACCUAGUGGUUCGGAACAACACAGGGAAACUUGUGCUAAUACUGGAUAAGCCCGCAAGGGGAAAGAUUUAUCGCCACUAGAUCAGCCCGCGUCCGAUUAGCUAGUUGGUAGGGUAACGGCCUACCAAGGCGACGAUCGGUAGCUGUUCUGAGAGGAAGAUCAGCCACACUGGGACUGAGACACGGCCCAGACUCCUACGGGAGGCAGCAGUGGGGAAUAUUGGGCAAUGGAGGAAACUCUGACCCAGCGACGUCGCGUGAGUGAAGAAAUCCCUCGGGAUGUAAAGCUCUGUUGUACGGGAAGAUGGAAAAGACGGUACCGUACGAGGAAGCCCCGGCAAACUACGUGCCAGCAGCCGCGGUAAA